rnacentral:rRNA from 1 species
CGGAGAAUGUUAUCACGGGAGACACACGGCGGGUGCUAACGUCCGUCGUGAAGAGGGAAACAACCCAGACCGCCAGCUAAGGUCCCAAAGUCAUGGUUAAGUGGGAAACGAUGUGGGAAGGCCCAGACAGCCAGGAUGUUGGCUUAGAAGCAGCCAUCAUUUAAAGAAAGCGUAAUAGCUCACUGGUCGAGUCGGCCUGCGCGGAAGAUGUAACGGGGCUAAACCAUGCACCGAAGCUGCGGCAGCGACACUAKGUGUUGUUGGGUAGGGGAGCGUUCUGUAAGCCUGUGAAGGUGGCCUGUGAGGGUUGCUGGAGGUAUCAGAAGUGCGAAUGCUGACAUAAGUAACGAUAAAGCGGGUGAAAAGCCCGCUCGCCGGAAGACCAAGGGUUCCUGUCCAACGUUAAUCGGGGCAGGGUGAGUCGACCCCUAAGGCGAGGCCGAAAGGCGUAGUCGAUGGGAAACGGGUUAAUAUUCCCGUACUUGGUGUUACUGCGAAGGGGGGACGG